rnacentral:lncRNA from 1 species
UUCAACAUUGCAGUGAUUUUUUUCCCCUCCUUAGCUCAGAGCAGAGGUGGAACCCCCAGGGGAUUCAAGUACCCACUUGAUAGGCUCAGUCCCUCUUAAUCAGCCUGUAAUGGAGCUAAUGGCUGUUUGUCAUCCUUGGAGAUAUAAAUUUCCUGGCGGUGUCUCCUGCAGACAGUGCAUGAAGUAUGCUCAGUGUGCCAGCAAGGGCUGAUAAUCAGCAGAAGGACAGGGUGCUUCGUUAGUCAGAAGAGCCAGGGCUUUCCGGCUGCCAGGCUACAGAACUCGCCUCACCACUCUUGAGACAUGGACAACGUCGUUGAUGGACUGGACAAAGCUUCUGUAGCAAACUCAGAUGGCCCCACAGCAGGUUCCCAAACACCUCCCUUCAAGAGAAAGGGGAAACUAUCCACCAUUGGUAAAAUCUUUAAGCCUUGGAAAUGGAGGAAAAAGAAGACCAGCGACAAAUUUAGAGAAACCUCAGCAGGUAUGAGUAUCAUAACUUGUUAGAAGAUGGGAUAAAUCGUAAAAUGUUUCAAAAGGUAGAAAAUUAUGUAUUACAGUGUGUUUUUUCCCGGAAAAAAUUUAAUCCAUAUUUGAAAUGAAUUCUUU